rnacentral:lncRNA from 1 species
AUGACCUUUGAAUCUUCAAGAUGGAUGUUUAGAAUGAUGAAUAGGCCCUAAUUUGAACAUGAUUGAGUUGUCUCAACUCAUUUCCCCACCUCAUAGCCCUCAGUUGACUGCACAGUUGACUUUUGGUCCUCAGAUGACCUUGAAAUGUUUUGAUUAACUUGAGCCUCUACCACUUGGUGAAAUUGCUCCAAAAUGAAAC